rfam:Schistosoma haematobium scaffold705_61, whole genome shotgun sequence.
AUCCAGCCGACGAGUCGCAAACAGGACGAAAUGCGAGUCCUAGAU